UUUACAGAAAAAUUGUUUGAGACGCAAACUGUAACAACCAGAAUGACAACAUCAGCGACAGACCAAAAUACAUCAACAUUCAAACCAACAAGUGGUAAGACAACUAUGAUGAAUAAUACAAAGACCAUUCCACAGAUAUCAAUGACAACAACGGUGAUGACGUCAACAACAAAACCCCCAACCAAUAAACCAAUAUCAUGCAUGGUUUGUGCUGGUCCUCCCUUUAUCUGUGAACGUCUUUAUAAACCAGUACUCUGCUCAGACCCUAAUCAACCACUAU